rnacentral:rRNA from 1 species
UCAAUAAGCGGAGGAAAAGAAACUAACAAGGAUUCCCCUAGUAACUGCGAGUGAAGCGGGAAAAGCUCAAAUUUAAAAUCUGGUGGUCUUUGGCCAUCCGAGUUGUAAUCUAGAGAAGUGUUAUCCGCGCUGGACCGUGUACAAGUCUCCUGGAAUGGAGCGUCAUAGAGGGUGAGAAUCCCGUCUUUGACACGGACUACCAGGGCUUUGUGAUGCGCUCUCAAAGAGUCGAGUUGUUUGGGAAUGCAGCUCAAAAUGGGUGGUAAAUUCCAUCUAAAGCUAAAUAUUGGCGAGAGACCGAUAGCGAACAAGUACCGUGAGGGAAAGAUGAAAAGAACUUUGGAAAGAGAGUUAAACAGUACGUGAAAUUGCUGAAAGGGAAACGCUUGAAGUCAGUCGCGUUGUCCGGAAAUCAACCUUGCUUUUGCUGGGCGUACUUUCCGGUUGACGGGUCAGCAUCAAUUUUGACCGUUGGAUAAAGUUCAGGGGAAUGUGGCAUCUUCGGAUGUGUUAUAGCCUUUGUUCGCAUACAACGGUUGGGAUUGAGGAACUCAGCACGCCGCAAGGCCGGGUAUUUAUACUACGUUCGUGCUUAGGAUGCUGGCAUAAUGGCUUUAAUCGACCCGUCUUGAAACACGGACCAAGGAGUCUAACAUGCCUGCGAGUGUUUGGGUGGAAAACCCGAGCGCGUAAUGAAAGUGAAAGUUGAGAUCCCUGUCGCGGGGAGCAUCGACGCCCGGACCAGACCUUUUGUGACGGAUCCGCGGUAGAGCAUGUAUGUUGGGACCCGAAAGAUGGUGAACUAUGCCUGAAUAGGGUGAAGCCAGAGGAAACUCUGGUGGAGGCUCGUAGCGAUUCUGACGUGCAAAUCGAUCGUCAAAUUUGGGUAUAGGGGCGAAAGACUAAUCGAACCAUCUAGUAGCUGGUUCCUG